AGUGGGACAAUGAAGUUGUUCAAUGCCAGUGAGAUACUGCGUAAACAAAGCAGCUGUGGUGGCACAGAGGAUCAACAUCCUCAAAAGCUGGAAGCCCAGUGCAGGCUGCGGUCAGUGGAGAGGGGCAGCGGGAUGCAGUCACUCCUCCAGUGCUCCCUGUGCUCUCACCAAGAUGACUGCUGGCCUCUGAGAGCUCCUUCAGAGCAGGCAUGAGUCACUGCCCAAGGGUAAAUAGUGAAUUCUGUGAUGAUACUCACGUUUGAAAGACAGUGAGGUGGAACAAACAAGAGAAGCUGAGGUAUGCAGGAGAUCAAUGUCAUGGGAUCUGUGAACUACAGGCUGCACCCCUGGUCAUUACAAGAGAAUGCAGAUUCUGCCUUCCAUUGCUCCUCUGGUAUUAGUAGGAAGAUUUAUUUAAUACCACAGGAAAUGAAGCCAAAAAUGAGACUGAAAUUCAUUUCAACAUAGUGAAGACUUUGAUACUUCUGCAAGUCUCUUAUAUUGAAGAAUUAAAGCACAAAGAAAGGGUGACGCCAGUGUCAUGGGCUGGUGCCUCCAGCUUGCACUGCAUUUGCUUGGAGGUAAGGAAGCAGAAAAACCAAGGGUGGGAUAAAACUGGGCAUUUCUGUUUUGUCUUUUUACAGGAGAGGGGCGUGCCUUCCCAAAUGCAUCUUGUCUUCAUCUCACCAUUGCAACCAGUGGUGUCAAGUGUGAAGAGAGUGUCUGGCACAGCUGGAGAUGCUCCUGGAGCUCACAGCCGCUGGGUUGCUGCAGACAGCCGAGGCCCAGCUGCCCGGUUUUGUCUUAGCAUUUAAACAAGUACUCUCCUUGGUGUGGGUGUUUGGUUUCUCUCUGGACCCAAAAGCAGCAGAGAACAGUGAUUCCCUCCUCAUGGUACAGCAGCUACUGUGCAGCUUGCUCCCCUGCACCAUACUCUGCUUAUGCCUUUCCAAAAUGAUCGCAGACAGGAAGCAUUUACUAAAGGAAUAUUGUUAGUAGGAUAAUCCCUGUGCUACUGACCUUCUCCCAGUCUCGGGAGACCUACCCAGUCUCCUGCUCGGCCCUGCCAAGCAUAACAUCUGCCAGUGUGAGAGCAGUCUAUUGUCACCCAGCGUGUGAUGCUCCUCUGCCGCUAUCCGCUCUCUCCACUUCCCAUCUCCAUCUCUGCCCUCUCCCGCAGCAGCCCCUCUGUCUGCUCUCCCCUCUCCCUCAGCAGCCCCUUUCUCUGCUCUCCGCUCCCCCUUCCCCUGCCGCUCCCUGUCCGCCCCGUUCCCCGGGCGGGCUCAGCCCGGCGGCUCCGUGACCUUUCCAGCGCGUGUAGCGCCGUGUGUGCCCGGGAACACGCUCCCCUCCACGUGCCAGCACACACACACAGCCUCCCGUAAACUUCUGACCCUUGCCUGGUCCUCUGCCGUCCCUGGCAGGACCAAGGGCAGGGUUAUACGCCUGGGUUUAGUUACCAGUGUCUGGAGACUGCCAGGGAGCACAGUGUUGCAGCUCUGAUUACACUUACAUAAAAGAAAAACACUCUUAAGGCAACAGCUUAUUUUCUCUUUUUUCUCUCUCUCUCUUCCUUUUUUUUUUUUUUUUUUUUUUUUUUUUUAAUCAUUAUUAUUAUUUGUCUUUAGGUUGCUUUAGGAGCCAGAUGUGAAAGGCUGUACCCCUUGAGUAACACAGCAUGGUGCUUCCCAAGCUGUGUAAGAAGUCCCAGUUAUGGAUAAAGGCAAAGAAGAGCCUAGAAACAGAAAUGUUGUCGCAGUCCUUUUUGGGGAGAGGAUAAAAGGUAGAAGCAGCAAGUGCAUAUGUGUAAACUGGAGAUUUAAUGAUAGAAAUGAUGCCUUUCCUGAGUCCAGCCGAAGAAAAAUCCCUCCCCAGUCAAAAGCUGCCCAGAACACUGUCUGUUGCUUUUCUCCUAGUAGUAAAUAAAUAAAAAUUGCUUUCCAAUGAGUUCCAGUGCAACCUUCAGUGCUUCAGUCGGUGGUUUGCUUUUUCUGUUUCCAGGACUGCAGUUGUGCUCUAACCAAUUUAUAAGCUUCAAAGCCUUGCUUAGAAAAUAUUUUCAAAAAGCAUUAUCCUUCCACACAGUAUAUUUGUAACACAAUCGUUUUCUUAACAGCUCCUGUCACAUUAUUACAUCAAUUCAAUAAGUGAUUUCUUUAAACAGCUUCUCACACCAACUUGAGUAAUCUCAUGAAGUUUCGCUGUGCUCCUUUAUCCACCUUUCCUUUUCCCUGUUUAACCACAGCAUUAGUGGGGAGGCUGAAGCCCAGGUAAGGUGUCUUUCUGCUUCAAAGUCUUUGACAGAGGAUAGUGAGAUACCCUGCCUGCAAACAGCACUUUGAAUACAUCUCCCAGUAACAGAAACCUCUUUUAGUUUCUUCUUUCUUGGCCUCUGGCACUGCUUCCCUUAAAAGCUGCAGCUUCUUAGCUAUUGUGGGUGCUGCCAAGCGAAAGCCAUGGAGAUACAAACACCCCUAGUGAGUGCAUCUUCCUGAGGAAGGCUAAACCCAAGGAAGGCUAAACCCAGAAAGGGCUCCCAUGCUUCUCCUCCCCUGGAUUUACAGCCUGGAUGGCCACCAGUCUCCCCUAUGCUUGUGUUAGGAACAGCAAGACACAGUUCCCUCAAACCCAAUGGUGUCUUAGUGUUCCCCAGGGGCUGCCAUUUGCCAUCAAUGAGAGAGCAAGCUCAGAUUUCAUUUGAAAUCAGAUCUAUAGGAUGUUUCUUGCUGUUACAGAAGACAGAAGUCUCCAGAUUACCCGGAAUAUCGUAGAUCCAAAUAGCUUUCUAUUUACAGUUGCUUGAUUUUGGAGGCGAGGCUGACUCAGGACUUUCUGUGCUUGACUUGGCAAAGCCCACCAUCCUGCACCAGCCUCAGCCUCUGAAUAUUUGCCUGCCUCACUUCAAACAUGUAUCCCUGCAAUGCAGACUGUAGAGAGGACACACUGUUAUCUAUUUCUUUUUUCCUGGAAAAAUAUUUUCCGUUUGUAUCGUUGAAUGGCAUCUAAAUAAACAUUUGCUGUAUUUUCGUGUCAUUUUGAAAAACAGGUUGAUUCUGCAGAGAGAGCAGCACACAGCAUUCAGUGUUUGAAUUGUCUAUUUUACUCUAUCUGGACUCUAAAGCCUUGAAAUAAAUGUGCCACAUCGCAGCAUUAACUCACUGUGGAGAAAUAAGACUAAUUCUAGUUACUGGAUUGAACAAACUGUGUUUAUGAAGUAGUUGUUUGAUUCUUUUAAUUUCUUGUCGUAUCCUGUUCGGUGUAAACUCGAUAUCCUAUUUUUUAACAGAACAGGUGCCACAACUUUAAUGACUGUGAUACAGUAUCUCGUUACCCUAAAAAAAAAAAAAAUCAAUAAAAAAGUUUGAAGCUCAUUGUCAGCUUUCACAAGAGAACUUGCAGACAGAGCAGGAAAGUACAGUCAGGUUCAGGAACCUGAUGAGGAAUACAGAGAAAUGUUAAAUAAAUUAUUACUUAUGCAUUAUUAAAAAAAGUCACACUUCUAUAGCUCCUCUCAGAUAAUGAACUCAAAUUCAUUUAUUAUUAAUUUCACAACUCCAUGUAGGUGAAGGAACGAUGCCAUAUUGGUUUUAUGAGCAAAGAGCUGAGACUUUGACAUGUGAAGUGUUUAAAAAUUAUGUAAUACCAGGGAAUUUUCCCCAGAGGACAUUCCAAAAGGUAAAUGAGGUGGGUAGGUGUCUGGGUUGGUUUUCCAAGUUUUAGCAGCCAGAGCUGGGACCAUGGGUCUGUCCAUCCUGGGU